GGUGAUUACAUCAAUAAUUAUAAAUUUCAAUGGUACCCACAAUUACUCCAACUGCCAGACUAUCUUCAACUCCCUUCUUAGCAUGGAUCUCUAAUAGGUAUGAGAAUUCAGAUGCCUGUGAAAUAAAUUCCAAAGCUCCAAGGAUAGAUAUCUGCAAGCCAAGUCGGCCACAUAAUAUGAAGAAAAAGGAAAUGAAGUCUGUUAAUCCCCCAAGACAGACAUUUAUUAUACAAAAGCUAAGUGACAGCUUUGAACCAUGGCCUCACCUUCUGCAGAGGAGGUUUAUGUCACAAGAACUGCAGGAGUCACGGGUCUGCUUGUUGAUAGGGGAGUUGCAGCAGCUUCUUGAAAGGAGAAUGACCCCAGCCAAAUGUCAUCUCCACAAAUACAAGCCAAAGUUCCAGUUGCUGAAGUGGCUAUUGAUUAAAGAAUCAUGA
rnacentral:lncRNA from 1 species